rnacentral:rRNA from 1 species
UACGGAGGAUCCAAGCGUUAUCCGGAAUCAUUGGGUUUAAAGGGUCCGUAGGCGGCUUUGUAAGUCAGUGGUGAAAUCCGGCAGCUUAACUGUCGAACUGCCAUUGAUACUGCAGGGCUUGAAUUAUUGGGAAGUAACUAGAAUAUGUAGUGUAGCGGUGAAAUGCUUAGAUAUUACAUGGAAUACCGAUUGCGAAGGCAGGUUACUAUCAAUACAUUGACGCUGAUGGACGAAAGCGUGGGUAGCGAACAGG